GUUUUCUAUGUAUUUAAGUAUUUAUAAAUAUUUAUAUAUUAUAUAUAUCGUUGUCUAAUACCCUCAACACAAGCCUUAUUGAGCUUACUGUGGGACUUAGUCAAUUUGUGUAAUAAUGUCCUAUAAUAUUUAUUUAAAA